UAGGGAAUAUUGCACAAUGGGCGAAAGCCUGAUGCAGCAACGCCGCGUGCGCGAUGACGGCCUUCGGGUUGUAAAGCGCUUUUCGGGGAGAUGAGGAAGGUCAGUAUCCCCGGAAUAAGGCUCGGCUAACUACGUGCCAGCAGCCGCGGUAACACGUAGGAGCCAAGCGUUAUUCGAAUUCACUGGGCGUAAAGCGCGUGUAGGCGGCUUGGUAAGUUGGAUGUGAAAGCUCCUGGCUCAACUGGGAGAGGACGUUCAAUACUGCCGGGCUAGAGGGCGAGAGGGGGAGGUGGAAUUCCCGGUGUAGUGGUGAAAUGCGUAGGUAUCGGGAGGAACACCAGUGGCGAAAGCGGCCUCCUGGGUCGCACCUGACGCUCAGACGCGAAAGCUAGGGGAGCGAACGGG
rnacentral:rRNA from 1 species